rnacentral:rRNA from 1 species
AGUGAACGCUGGCGGCGUGCUUAACACAUGCAAGUCGAACGAGAACGGAUUAUAGCUUGCUAUAAUUGUCAGCUAAGUGGCGCACGGGUGAGUAAUGUAUAGGUAAUAUGCCUCUUACUAAGGGAUAACAAAUGGAAACGUUUGCUAAUACCUUAUACUCCUUAUUAACAGAAGUUAAUAAGGGAAAGAUUUAUUGGUAAGAGAUUAGCCUGUAUUGUAUCAGUUAGUUGGUGGGGUAAUGGCUUACCAAGACUAUGACACAUAACUGGUUUGAGAGGAUGAUCAGUCACACUGGAACUGAGACACGGUCCAGACUCCUACGGGAGGCAGCAGUGGGGAAUCUUAGACAAUGGGCGCAAGCCUGAUCUAGCCAUGCCGCGUGAGCGAUGAAGGCCUUAGGGUUGUAAAGCUCUUUCAGUGGGGAAGAUAAUGACUGUACCCACAGAAGAAGCCCCGGCUAACUCCGUG